rnacentral:rRNA from 1 species
UACGUAGGGUGCAAGCGUUAAUCGGAAUUACUGGGCGUAAAGCGUGCGCAGGCGGUGAUGGAAGACAGAUGUGAAAUCCCCAGGCUCAACCUGGGAACUGCGUCCGAUACUGGAUGGCUUGAAUCCGGGAGAGGGAUGCAGAAUUCCAGGUGUAGCGGUGAAAUGCGUAGAUAUCUGGAGGAAUACCGGUGGCGAAGGCGGCAUCCUGGACCGGCAUUGACGCUGAGGAGCGAAAGCCAGGGGAGCAAACGGG